rnacentral:rRNA from 1 species
UUCCGGUUGAUCCCGCCGGACCCGACUGCUAUCAGAGUGGGACUAAGCCAUGCGAGUCGACGUAGCAAUGCGUGGCGAACGGCUCAGUAACACGUAGUCAACAUGCCCAGGGGACGUGGAUAACCUCGGGAAACUGAGAAUAAACCACGAUAGGUCACGAUUUCUGGAAUGGAUCAUGGCCUAAAUCUACAUGGCCCCUGGAUUGGACUGCGGCCGACCAGGCUGUUGGUGAGGUAAUGGCCCACCAAACCUAUAACCGGUACGGGCUCUGAGAGGAGAAGCCCGGAGAUGGGCACUGAGACAAGGGCCCAGGCCCUAUGGGGCGCAGCAGGCGCGAAACCUCUGCAAUAGGCGAAAGCCUGACAGGAUUACUCUGAGUGAUUUCCGCUAAGGGGAUCUUUUGGCACCUCUAAAAAUGGUGCAGAAUAAGGGGUGGGCAAGUCUGGUGUCAGCCGCCGCGGUAAUACCAGCACCCCGAGUGGUCGGGACGAUUAUUGGGCCUAAAGCAUCCGUAGCCGGUUCUGCAAGUCUUCCGUUAAAUCCAGCCGCUCAACGGAUGGGCCGCGGAGGAUACUACAGGACUAGGAGGCGGGAGAGGCAAGCGGUACUCAGUGGGUAGGGGUAAAAUCCUUUGAUCCAUUGAAGACCACCAGUGGCGAAGGCGGCUUGCCAGAACGCGCUCGACGGUGAGGGAUGAAAGCUGGGGGAGCAAACCGGAUUAGAUACCCGGGUAGUCCCAG